rnacentral:misc_RNA from 1 species
GCUCCUACCGAUUGAAUGGUUUAGUGAGGACUCCUGAUUGGCGCCGCCGCCCCGGCAACGGAGCAGCGGACUGCCGGAAAGUUGUUCAAACUUGAUCAUUUAGAGGAAGUAAAAGUCGUAACAAGGUUUCCGUAGGUGAACCUGCAGAAGGAUCACGAUCGGACGCGCGUCGGGUAGAGAGAGAGUGUAGCGCUCGGCGGUGGCCGUUUCAUUAAAAAAAAAAAAACGCACACACUUCUACCUACAUCAUACACCCUCAUCACACAAACUUGUACA